UACGUAGGGUGCAAGCGUUGUCCGGAAUUAUUGGGCGUAAAGAGCUCGUAGGCGGCUAGUCACGUCGAUGUGAAAACCCGAGGCUCAACCUCGGGCCUGCAUUCGAUACGGGCUGGCUAGAGUACUGCAGGGGAGACUGGAAUUCCUGGUGUAGCGGUGAAAUGCGCAGAUAUCAGGAGGAACACCGGUGGCGAAGGCGGGUCUCUGGGCAGUAACUGACGCUGGAGGAGCGAAAUGCCGUGGGGAGCGAACAGGA
rnacentral:rRNA from 1 species